GAAGCUGAUGAAGCAGUUUUUGGUGCUCCAGAGUCAAGGCCUCCAGAGUCAUGUCCCUCACCACACCACCGUGGAGGACAUGAGCAACUGGCUUGUUAAGAACAAGUCCCUGGAGCGGUUCAGAAAGGAAGCAGAGGAAGGGAAUGACAUAAGUCACCUGACCUGGGAGGUGAACACUCAACUCAGAAUGAGGGACGUUGAACAUGAGGCUUUUACUGAGUUGGCCACCGACCUUAGUCAGGCCAUUAACUCACUUGACUUUACUGCUGAUCUCUC